UACGUAGGGGGCAAGCGUUGUCCGGAAUCAUUGGGCGUAAAGCGCGUGUAGGCGGCCCGGUAAGUCCGCUGUGAAAGUCCAGGGCUCAACCCUGGAAUGCCGGUGGAUACUGUCGGGCUCGAGUCCGGAAGAGGCGAGUGGAAUUCCUGGUGUAGCGGUGAAAUGCGCAGAUAAUCAGGAGGAACACCAAUGGCGAAGGCAGCUCGCUGGGACGGUACUGACGCUGAGACGCGAAAGCGUGGGGAGCAAACAGG
rnacentral:rRNA from 1 species